CUUAGAAGCAGCCAUCAUUUAAAGAGUGCGUAAUAGCUCACUGGUCGAGAGACGCUGCGCCGAAAAUGUCCGGGGCUCAAGCACGGAACCGAAGCUAUGGCAUGAUAGCAAUAUCAUGGGUAGGGGAGCGUUCUUAUAAGGAAGAAGCAUGACCGGAAGGACAUGUGGACAAAUAAGAAGUGAGAAUGCCGGUAUGAGUAUCGAAAAGAAAGGUGAGAAUCCUUUCCACCGAAAGCCCGAGGGUUCCUGAGCAACGAUCGUCGACUCAGGGUAAGUCGGGACCUAAGCCGAGGCGGAAAGCGUAGGCGAUGGACAACAGGUUGAAAUUCCUGUACCGGAUCAAGUCGAUUGAGCGAAGGAGCGACGCAGGAGGGCACAUGAUCGCGCGGCUGGAAGAGCGCGUCCAAGUGCGUAUGUUGCAGCAGAGGAAAACCCCUGCAGCUAAAAGCAGAGACAUGAAGGGGAGUUAAAGGAAACUUUGACGAACUCAUGAAUCCCACACUGCCAAGAAAAACUUCUAGCGAGACAAGAUCCGCCCGUACCGUAAACCGACACAGGUAGGCGGGGAGAGAAUCCUAAGGUGCGCGGGAAAACCCUCGUUAAGGAACUCGGCAAAUUGCAUCCGUAACCUAGGGAGAAGGAUGGCCCCCGGUCAGUGAAGAGCAGAAACGCUCAGAGCUAAAAGGGGCGGCAGAAAAGAGGCCCAAGCAACUGUUUACCAAAAACACAGGUGCCUGCGAAAGCGAAAGCUGAAGUAUAGGUGCUGACGCCUGCCCGGUGCCGGAAGGUUAAGGAGAGAAGUUAGCGAAAGCGAAGCAUCGAACUGAAGCCCCGGUGAACGGCGGCCGUAACUAUAACGGUCCUAAGGUAGCGAAAUUCCUUGUCGGGUAAGUUCCGACCCGCAUGAAAGGCGUAAUGAUUUGGGCACUGUCUCAACGAGGGGCCCGGUGAAAUUGAAAUACCUGUGAAGAUGCAGGUUACCCGCGACUGGACAGAAAGACCCCAUGGAGCUUCACUGCAGCUUGAGAUUGAAUCCCGGUGACAGAUGCACAGGAUAGGUGGGAGGCGCCGAAGCAUUGCCCUAGGGCGGUGCGGAGCCGAUGUUGGGAUACCACCCUUCUGUUGCUGAGAUUCUAACGCGAGGAGUAACGACCCUGCGGACCCUCUCAGGCAGGCGGUUUGACUGGGGCGGUCGCCUCCGAAAGAGUAACGGAGGCGCCCAAAGGUUCCCUCAGGCCGGACAGAAACCGGCCGAAGAGUGCAAAGGCAGAAGGGAGCUUGACUGCGAGACCAACAAGUCGAGCAGAGACGAAAGUCGGGCUUAGUGAUCCGGUGGUACUGGGUGGAAAGGCCAUCGCUCAACGGAUAAAAGCUACCCUGGGGAUAACAGGCUAAUCUCUCCCAAGAGUUCAUAUCGACGGGGAGGUUUGGCACCUCGAUGUCGGCUCA
rnacentral:rRNA from 1 species